UACGUAGGGAGCAAGCGUUGUCCGGAAUCAUUGGGCGUAAAGCGCGCGUAGGCGGCCCGAUAAGUCCGCUGUAAAAGUCAACGGCUCAACUGUUGAAAGCCGGUGGAUACUGUCGGGCUAGAGUACGGAAGAGGCAAGUGGAAUUCCUGGUGUAGCGGUGGAAUGCGCAGAUAUCAGGAGGAACACCCAUAGCGAAGGCAGCUUGCUGGGACGUUACUGACGCUAAGGCGCGAAAGCGUGGGGAGCGAACAGA
rnacentral:rRNA from 1 species